rnacentral:rRNA from 1 species
AACGAACGCUGGCGGCAUGCCUAACACAUGCAAGUCGAACGAGACCUUCGGGUCUAGUGGCGCACGGGUGCGUAACGCGUGGGAACCUGCCCUUAGGUUCGGCAUAACUCCCCGAAAGGGGUGCUAAUACCGGAUAAUGUCUUCGGACCAAAGAUUUAUCGCCUUUGGAUGGGCCCGCGUUGGAUUAGCUAGUUGGUAGGGUAAAAGCCUACCAAGGCGACGAUCCAUAGCUGGUCUGAGAGGAUGAUCAGCCACACUGGGACUGAGACACGGCCCAGACUCCUACGGGAGGCAGCAGUGGGGAAUAUUGGACAAUGGGCGAAAGCCUGAUCCAGCAAUGCCGCGUGAGUGAUGAAGGCCUUAGGGUUGUAAAGCUCUUUUACCCGGGAUGAUAAUGACAGUACCGGGAGAAUAAGCUCCGGCCAACUCCGUG